rnacentral:rRNA from 1 species
GCAUAAUCAUUUGCCUUUUAAUUGAAGGCUAGUAUGAAUGGACAAACGCGAAUACAGCUGUCUCUUACUGAUAAACAAAAACUAAUAAUUAGGUGAAGACGCCUAAAUAUAAAUGAAGGACAAGAAGACCCUACAGAGCUCUGCCAAGAAAAGUAUAAUACUGACAUCGGCUUAGUUGGGACAACUUAUAUUCACACAAACCAAUAUACCUAAAAUAAUACCAACCAUAAACAUAAAUCGUCAAGCUACCUUAGGGAUAACAGGCUAAUCUCAUUAAAGAGAUCACAUUGACAAUGAGGAUUGG